rnacentral:lncRNA from 10 species
CUUAGCAACCUCACUCAGUAUAUGAUUUUUUCUUUACUUAUUGAGAAUUUUCAUUUAAUCACUUAAAGGAAGUGCUUCAUAGCUUUUCUUUGCCAUAUCUGAGUUACCAGCACUUUGGGGACAUUAUUAAGUAGAAUAAGGGUUAGUUGAGCACAAGCACUGCCAUACCACAGCAGCUGAUCUGAUAACAGAGCUGGCUACAAAGUGACUAAUGGGUGGGUAGCAUAUGCAGUGUGGAUAGAUUGGACAAAAUGAUGAUUUAUGUCCUGGGCGGGCUAGAGUAAGAUUCUAUCAUGCGAAUCAAAACAGUGCAUAAUUUAAAACUUAUGAAUUGUUUAUUUCUAGAAAUUUUCAUUUAAUAUUUUCAGAUGAUGGUUAACCACACAUAACUUAAACAGCUUGAAAGCAAAACUGCAGAUAAGGAGAAACUACUGUACACUGGAUAGGACAAACAGCAGAUACAACAUUACACAAGAAAAUACUAACAAACUUGAAGACAUAACAGGAGAAAACAUCCAAAAUGGAGCAAAGGGAAGAGAAAAAAGAAAAGAGCAGCAGUGAAUGGAAGGAAAACUUCAAGCUGUUUAAUAUAUGUGAAAUUCCAAUACUCAAAGGAGAGGAGUGAGAGAGCAGGGCAAAAACUUGUGAAGAAAUAAUGGCUCAAAAUUUGCCAUAUUUGAUAAAAACUAUAAGCCUCUUAUCCAGGAAGUUCAAUAAACACCAAGUAGAAGAAAUAUGAAUUCAUUCAUAUAAUAAAUUCAUCUCAUAAUAAACUUGCUCAAAACUAGCAAUAACAGAAAAUCUUAAAAGUAGCCAAAGAAAUAAGACACCUUUCAUUCAGAGGACCAAAGAUGAGGACAACAGCAAUUUUUUCAGUGGAAACAAUGCAACCAUUAGCAUCAACACCUUUAAACUACUGAAAGAAAGAAAAAAAAAAAGCUGUUGACCUAAAAUUUUAUACCCACAUUUAAAAUGCCUUUCAAAAGCAAAGGCAAAAUAUACAUGUUCUCAGACAUACAAAAGUUGAAAUAAUUCAGCAGCAGAAGACAAACAUGACAAGAAGUACUUCUAAAAAUCCUUUCAGGAAAAGGGAAAAUGACAUCAGAUGGAAUCAUGGAUCUACAUGAUAAAGAGAAUGAACACCAAAACUGCUAAGUACAGAGGGAUCACCUGACUCUGGCCCAUGGACCAAAUCUGACUACCACCUGUCUUCCUAUGGCCUGUGAGAUAAGAAGAAGUUUUACAUUUUUAAAUAAGUUUGAAAAGAAAACAAAAGGCGGUAUGUGGAAAUUAUAUAAAAUUUAAAUCUCAGUCUCCAUAAAUAAAUUUGUUGUGGAACAUAGUCAUGACUUCCAUUUGUUUAUAUAUUGUCUAAGACUGCUUUAACACAACAGUAGGAUUGAGGAGUUGCAACAGAAAAUGUAUGGCCAACAAAGGCUAAAAUAGUUACUAUCUGGCCUUUUUCAGGAAAAAAAAAAAAAAAAAAAUUGGUCUGGUGUGGUGACCUGUAAACCCAGCACACAAGGAGGCAUAGGUGGAAGGAAUACUUGAGGCCAGGAGUUUGACACCAGCCUGAGCAACAUAGUGAGACAACAUAUCCAAAAAAAUUUACAACAAUAAAUUAGCAGGGCACAGUGGUACACACCUGUUGUCCUAGCUACUCAACAGGCUGAAGUGGGAAGAUCACUAGAGGCAAGGAGUUUGAGGUUAUGGGGAGCUAUGUGAUCAUGACCAUGUACUCCAGCCUGGGAGACAGAGCGAGACCUUGUCUCUAAAAAUAAAUAAAUAAGAAAAUAAAUAAAUAAAUAAAUAAAUAAAUUUUUUGACUCUUUCUCUAUGUUAUUUUACCAGUUAUUAUCUGUUUUCCUGUCUCCUUACUUGUCUCCCCACAACAAGUGACCUCCUUUAAGUCAGAGACCAUGUUUUAUGGUUGCCCCAACACUUAGCACAUUGACUAACAGAUAGUAAACUCUCAAUAUAUUUUUACUGAAUGAAUGUGAGAAUUAUCUUCCCAAAGGUGUUUUAUUAUUCUUUAUCAAACAUGGAAAUAAUUUAUAACUCAACAUUUUGUGAUAAUUCAGAAUAGUAAUAAGAGCUUCUCAUUUUAAUUAGGUG